rnacentral:rRNA from 1 species
UACGGAGGGUGCAAGCGUUGUCCGGAAUCACUGGGCGUAAAGGGCGCGUAGGCGGCCUGGUAAGUAGGGGGUGAAAUCCUGCGGCUUAACCGCAGGGCUGCCUUCUAAACUGUCAGGCUUGAGCACGGUAGAGGCAGAUGGAAUUCUCGGUGUAGCGGUGAAAUGCGUAGAUAUCGAGAGGAACACCUGCGGCGAAGGCGGGUAGCUGGGCCGACACUGACGCUGAGGCGCGAAAGCCAGGGGAGCAAACGGGG